GUCUACGGCCAUACCACUGAGAAAGCACCGGUUCUCGUCCGAUCACCGAAGUUAAGCUCAGUAGGGCGCGGUUAGUACUUGGAUGGGUGACCGCUUCGGAAUACCGUGUGCUGUAGGGU
rnacentral:rRNA from 1 species